GGAGAAGUCGCCUAGUUGGUCUAUGGCGCACGCCUGGAAAGCGUGUAAACCUCACGGUUUCGAGGGUUCGAAUCCCUCCUUCUCCG
rfam:Candidatus Firestonebacteria bacterium RIFOXYA2_FTLL_40_8 rifoxya2_full_scaffold_2944, whole genome shotgun sequence.